rnacentral:rRNA from 1 species
GACGAACGCUGGCGGCGUGCUUAACACAUGCAAGUCGAACGGAAAGGCCCCCAUCUUGGUGGGGGUGCUCGAGUGGCGAACGGGUGAGUAACACGUGGGUGAUCUGCCCUGUACUUCGGGAUAAGCUUGGGAAACUGGGUCUAAUACCGGAUAGGACCAUGGUUUAGUGUCUCAUGGUGGAAAGAUUAUUGUUUUGGUGUAGGAUGAGCUCGCGGCCUAUCAGCUUGUUGGUGGGGUAAUGGCCUACCAAGGCGUCGACGGGUAGCCGGCCUGAGAGGGUGGACGGCCACAUUGGGACUGAGAUACGGCCCAGACUCCUACGGGAGGCAGCAGUGGGGAAUAUUGCACAAUGGGCGCAAGCCUGAUGCAGCGACGCCGCGUGGGGGAUGACGGCCUUCGGGUUGUAAACUCCUUUCGUUAGGGACGAAGCCGCACUUUUUUUGGGUGUGGUGACGGUACCUUUGUGAAGAAGCACCGGCUAACUACGUG